GGCUGUCCUGCUGCUUCUUGACCUCUUGGCGUGACAUUCCUUCCUGUCUAGUAUAGGGCAGGACCACUUCUGGAAUGAAGGUUUUAUGAUCUACUUUCAGACAAGGAACAUAUGAAGAUCUUCCUACUUCCUGAAUAAUCAGACAGAAUCUCAUUCCAUCACCCUUAGUAAGGUGCCAUGGUAUCAUAGCUCACAGCAACCUCAAACUCUUGGGCUCGACUGAUCCUAUUGCCUCAGCCUCCCAAGCUCCCAAAUAGAGUCGAAAGUGUUCAUUCUCAGAUGAGAAUCAGAAUUCUAUGUUGAAGAUUACCAGGAAGAAGUAUCAAACGAGAUUGCCUGUUAUUCUGCCUUUCUAGACCCUGAAAAUCAAGCUUUCUUCCUUUCCUUGGAUCCUAAAAAUGUGAGCAUGUAUGUCUAUUAGGAGAAGAGAUGAAAAAAUAAAGGACGGUGACCAGAUUAUUAUUGGGCCUAAAGAUCUGAGGCAGCAGCCAUGGAUAGUGAAGAAACGUAUUGACAGAACUCCCUGGAUCCAUCAUCGGUUUUGAGCUCUGCAUUCUUGCUCAGGGUGCUUUAUGGUUUAUUGUGGUUCUUUACUGUAAUUCGUCCCUUAAAGAUGAAAGCCAAAGGAUAGUUUGGUACACUUCUCUUUUAACAUCUGGUAUUUACUAUAGUUCUGUGAAAUUUACUUUUAUCCCCAUCUUUGAGUUUAGUGUAUUUGUUCCAUGAAGACCAACGAUUUUAUAGACAUUGCAACAAAAUAAAAUAUUCA